rnacentral:rRNA from 1 species
CUCGUCUAAUGCGACGAAAGUCUGACGGAGCAACGCCGCGUGAGUGAUGAAGGGUUUCGGCUCGUAAAGCUCUGUUGUUAGGGAAGAACAAGUGCCGUUCAAAUAGGGCGGCACCUUGACGGUACCUAACCAGAAAGCCACGGCUAACUACGUGCCAGCAGCCGCGGUAAUACGUAGGUGGCAAGCGUUGUCCGGAAUUAUUGGGCGUAAAGCGCGCGCAGGCGGUCUUUUAAGUCUGAUGUGAAAUCUCGGGGCUCAACCCCGAGCGGUCAUUGGAAACUGGGAGACUUGAGUACAGAAGAGGAGAGUGGAAUUCCACGUGUAGCGGUGAAAUGCGUAGAUAUGUGGAGGAACACCAGUGGCGAAGGCGACUCUCUGGUCUGUAACUGACGCUGAGGCGCGAAAGCGUGGGGAGCAAACAGGAUUAGAUACCCUGGUAGUCCACGCCGUAAACGAUGAGUGCUAGGUGUUAGGGGUUUCGAUGCCCUUAGUGCCGAAGUUAACACAUUAAGCACUCCGCCUGGGGAGUACGACCGCAAGGUUGAAACUCAAAGGAAUUGACGGGG